CGUGGGUAACCUGCCCAAGAGAUCGGGAUAACACCUGGAAACAGAUGCUAAUACCGGAUAACAACAGAUGAUGCCUAUCAACUGUUUAAAAGAUGGUUCUGCUAUCACUCUUGGAUGGACCUGCGGUGCAUUAGCUAGUUGGUAGGGUAACGGCCUACCAAGGCGAUGAUGCAUAGCCGAGUUUAGAGACUGAUCGGCCACAUUGGGACUGAGACACGGCCCAAACUCCUACGGGAGGCAGCAGUA
rnacentral:rRNA from 1 species